UUCCCAGCACGUUGCCCCACCUCCAUCCAUCCUUGAGGCCGCCGGUCGCGCCAUGACGACGGCACGACAAAAUAUCGCUGACGAUUUCCACCACACAAAGCGCUAUGGCCGAUCUGCAGCAUGGCAUCGUUGCAGGACGGAUCCCAGCCUCAUCCGCUCCUCUAAUUUUGCCAUGUUCUUGAUCUAGGGGACCGUCGUCCCUGAGCAUGGCGUUGUUGUAGGAUAGAUCCCAGCCUUACCUGCACCUCUAAUUCUACUAUGUUCUUGAUCUAGGAGACCGUCGUCCCAGCCGCAUAGGAGUUGGAGGUGUUGUUGACUAAGUUCCUUGCAUGUACACGAGAGCAUGGGUGAUGGUGGUACUCCUUGGCACAUGGGGUAGUGGUCCUGAAGGCCAGAUGCAAGUCGUUAUGCUCAUAGUCUCACAAACAACGCAAAGCCACACAGGUACUUAUCACCCUGGAGGAGACAUUAUAUAUUUAAUUGGAUUUUUCUGCCAUGUGCCAUGUCUUGGAUUUCACAUAGAUGAACAAGAGUCAAUUCUUGAGCGAGAUGCCCAGCUGCAGGUGGUUGUUUGACCAGUUGUGAGAUGUUUCAUCAGGCACCUAAUGGAUGUUUGUGUUGUUCGCAUGUUCCACUGUAUAUCCAGGUCGUAUGGUCGAGAGCCGAGAAAGAGGCAGUAGGAUGGUUGGUCCAACCUUAUUGAGAAAAUUCUGAGCAUGUGAUCAUUGUUCAGAUUUCCCUCGCUUAACAAUUAUCACC